rnacentral:pre_miRNA from 1 species
ACUUUAGGGCCUGAUCCAAAGCCCACUGAAGUCAUUUGGAGUCAUUCCAUUAACUUCAAUGGGCUUUGGAUCAGCCCCUUCGGAU